AUGGUGAAGGUUGGUGUGAACAGAUUUGGCCGUGUUGGGCGCCUGGUUACCAGGGCUGCCUUCUGUUCUGCACUUGGCAAAGUGGAGAUUGUUGCCAUUCAUGAUCCCUUGAUUGACCUCAACUACAUGGCUGAGAAUGGGAAGCUUGUCAUCAAUGGGAAGCCCAUCACCAUCUUCCAGGAAUGAGAUCCUGCUAACAUCAAAUGAGGUGAUGCUGGUGCUGAGUAUGUCAUGGAGUCUACUGGCAUCUUCACCACCAUGGAAGAGGCCGAGGUCCACUUGAAGGGUGGGGCCAAAAGGGUCAUCAUCUCUGCCCCUUCUGCUGAUGCCCUCAUGUUUGUGAUGGGUGUGAACCACAAGAAAUAUGACAACUCGCUCAAGAUUGUCAGCUAUGCAUCCUGCACCACCAACUGCUUAAACCCCCAGCCAAGGUCAUCCAUGAUAACUUUGGCAUCGUGGAAGGACUCAUGACCACGGUUCAUGCCAUCACUGCCACUCAGAAGACUGUGGAUGACCUUUCUGGAAAGCUGUGCCGUGAUAGCCAUGGGGCUGCCCAGAACAUCAUCCCUGCAUCCACUGGUGCUGCCAAGGCUGUGGGCAAGGUCAUCUCAGAGCUGAAUGGGAAGCUCACUAGCAUGGCCUUCCAUGUUCCUACACAUAAUGUAUCCAUUGUGGAUCUGACAUGCCGCCUGGAGAAACCUGCCAAUUAUGAUGACAUCAAGAAGGUGGUGAAGCAGACAUCUGAGGUCCCACUGAAGGGCAUCCUGGGCUACACUGAGGACCAAGUUGUCUCCUGCGACUUCAACAACAACUCUUACUCUUCCACCUUUGAUGCUGGGGCUGGCAUUGCUCUCAAUGACAACUUUGUAAAGCUCAUUUCCUGGUAUGACAAUGAAUUCGGCUACAGCAACAGGGUCGUGGACCUCAUGGACUACAUGGCCUCCAGGGAGUAA